rnacentral:rRNA from 1 species
UACGUAGGGUGCGAGCGUUAAUCGGAAUUACUGGGCGUAAGGCGUGCGCAGGCGGUGAUGUAAGACAGAUGUGAAAUGCCCGGGCUCAGCCUGGGACCUGCAUUUGUGACUGCAUCGCUAGAGUACGGUAGAGGGGGAUGGAAUUCCGCGUGUAGCAGUGAAAUGCGUAGAUAUGCGGAGGAACACCGAUGGCGAAGGCAAUCCCCUGGACCUGUACUGACGCUCAUGCACGAAAGCGUGGGGAGCAAACAGGAUUAGAUACCCUAGUAGUCC